GAUCAGGUUGAUAGGUCUGAGGUGGAAGUGUGGCGACACAUGGAGCUGACAGAUACUAAUCGAUCGAGGACUUAACCACAUUU
rnacentral:rRNA from 3 species